GACGAACGCUGGCGGCGUGCUUAACACAUGCGAGUCGAACGGAAAGGCCCUGCUUUUGUGGGGUGCUCGAGUGGCGAACGGGUGAGUAACACGUGAGUAACCUGCCCUUGACUUUGGGAUAACUUCAGGAAACUGGGGCUAAUACCGGAUAGGAGCUCCUGCUGCAUGGUGGGGGUUGGAAAGUUUCGGCGGUUGGGGAUGGACUCGCGGCUUAUCAGCUUGUUGGUGGGGUAGUGGCUUACCAAGGCUUUGACGGGUAGCCGGCCUGAGAGGGUGACCGGCCACAUUGGGACUGAGAGACGGCCCAGACUCCUACGGGAGGCAGCGGUGGGGAAUAUUGCACAAUGGGCGGAAGCCUGAUGCAGCAACGCCGCGUGCGGGAUGACGGCCUUCGGGUUGUAAACCGCUUUCGCCUGUGACGAAGCGUGAGUGACGGUAAUGGGUAAAGAAGCACCGGCUAACUACGUG
rnacentral:rRNA from 1 species